ACUCAAAGGAAUAGACGGGGGCCCGCACAAGCGGUGGAGUAUGUGGUUUAAUUCGAUGCAACGCGCAGAACCUUACCUGGUCUUGACAUGUCGCGAACUGCCCAGAGAUGGGCGGGUGCCUUCGGGAAUGCGAACACAGGUGCUGCAUGGCUGUCGUCAGCUCGUGUCGUGAGAUGUUGGGUUAAGUCCCGCAACGAGCGCAACCCUUGUCCUUAGUUGCCAGCGAGUAAAGUCGGGAACUCUAAGGAGACUGCCGGUGACAAACCGGAGGAAGGUGGGGAUGACGUCAAGGCAUCAUGGCCCUUACGACCAGGGCUACACACGUACUACAAUGGGAGGUACAGAGGGUUGCCAAGGCGCGAGCCGGAGCCAAUCCCAGAAAACCUCUCUCAGUCCGGAUCGGAGUCUGCAACUCGACUCCGUGAAGUCGGAAUCGCUAGUAAUCGCGAAUCAGCAUUGUCGCGGUGAAUACGUUCCCGGGCCUUGUACACACCGCCCGU
rnacentral:rRNA from 1 species